AGAACGAACGCUGGCGGCGUGCUUAACACAUGCAAGUCGAACGCGAAAGGGACUUCGGUUCCGAGUAGAGUGGCGCACGGGUGAGUAACGCGUAGAUAACCUGUCCUUGUGUCUGGAAUAAUACGUCGAAAGGUGUACUAAUACCGGAUACUCUUGCUUUAUAUAAGUAUAGUAAGCAAAGGUGGCCUCUGACAUAAGCUACUGCAUAAGGAGGGGUCUGCGUACCAUUAGCUAGUAGGUGGGGUAAAGGCCUACCUAGGCUACGAUGGUUAGCGGGUCUGAGAGGAUGAUCCGCCACACUGGCACUGGAACACGGGCCAGACUCCUACGGGAGGCAGCAGUGAGGAAUAUUGCGCAAUGGGGGCAACCCUGACGCAGCGACGCCGCGUGAGUGAGGAAGGCCUCGGUCGUAAGCUCUGUCGAAAGGAAAGAAGUAGCAUGGAGGUAAUACCUUCAUGUUUGACGUACCUAAAGGAAGACACCGGCUAACUCCGUCGCCAGCAGCCGA
rnacentral:rRNA from 1 species